GCCGGCUUAACUCAGUGGUAGAGUGCGUCACUCGUAUAACAAACUUUCAUCUGUAUCCGCAGAUGGAUGGGCGGGGUUCAAAAUGACGAAGUCGCUUGUUCGAUCCAGGCAGUCGGCA